AACGAACGCUGGCGGCAGGCCUAACACAUGCAAGUCGAGCGCCCCGCAAGGGGAGCGGCAGACGGGUGAGUAACGCGUGGGAAUCUACCCAUCCCUACGGAACAACUCAGGGAAACUUGAGCUAAUACCGUAUACGCCCUUCGGGGGAAAGAUUUAUCGGGGAUGGAUGAGCCCGCGUUGGAUUAGCUAGUUGGUGAGGUAAUGGCUCACCAAGGCGACGAUCCAUAGCUGGUCUGAGAGGAUGAUCAGCCACACUGGGACUGAGACACGGCCCAGACUCCUACGGGAGGCAGCAGUGGGGAAUAUUGGACAAUGGGCGCAAGCCUGAUCCAGCCAUGCCGCGUGAGUGAUGACGGCCCUAGGGUUGUAAAGCUCUUUCAACGGUGAAGAUAAUGACGGUAACCGUAGAAGAAGCCCCGGCUAACUUCGUGCCAGCCGCCGCCGUAACAC
rnacentral:rRNA from 1 species